GUGGGUAGAGCUCAGAGGGUAGAGUGCUUGCCUGGCAUGUAUGAGGCCCUGGGUUCUAUCCCCAGUACUGCAUA
rnacentral:tRNA from 1 species